AGAGUUCGAUCCUGGCUCAGGAUGAACGCUGGCGGCGCGCCUAACACAUGCAAGUCGAACGGCACCUGCCCUCGGGCAGAAGCGAGUGGCGAACGGCUGAGUAACACGUGGAGAACCUGCCCCCUCCCCCGGGAUAGCCGCCCGAAAGGACGGGUAAUACCGGAUACCCCGGGGUGCCGCAUGGCACCCCGGCUAAAGCCCCGACGGGAGGGGAUGGCUCCGCGGCCCAUCAGGUAGACGGCGGGGUGACGGCCCACCGUGCCGACAACGGGUAGCCGGGUUGAGAGACCGACCGGCCAGAUUGGGACUGAGACACGGCCCAGACUCCUACGGGAGGCAGCAGUGGGGAAUCUUGCGCAAUGGGGGGAACCCUGACGCAGCGACGCCGCGUGCGGGACGGAGGCCUUCGGGUCGUAAACCGCUUUCAGCAGGGAAGAGUCAAGACUGUACCUGCAGAAGAAGCCCCGGCUAACUACGUGCCAGCAGCCGCGGUAAUACGUAGGGGGCGAGCGUUAUCCGGAUUCAUUGGGCGUAAAGCGCGCGUAGGCGGCCCGGCAGGCCGGGGGUCGAAGCGGGGGGCUCAACCCCCCGAAGCCCCCGGAACCUCCGCGGCUUGGGUCCGGUAGGGGAGGGUGGAACACCCGGUGUAGCGGUGGAAUGCGCAGAUAUCGGGUGGAACACCGGUGGCGAAGGCGGCCCUCUGGGCCGAGACCGACGCUGAGGCGCGAAAGCUGGGGGAGCGAACAGGAUUAGAUACCCUGGUAGUCCCAGCCGUAAACGAUGGACGCUAGGUGUGGGGGGACGAUCCCCCCGUGCCGCAGCCAACGCAUUAAGCGUCCCGCCUGGGGAGUACGGCCGCAAGGCUAAAACUCAAAGGAAUUGACGGGGGCCCGCACAAGCAGCGGAGCAUGUGGCUUAAUUCGAAGCAACGCGAAGAACCUUACCAGGGCUUGACAUAUGGGUGAAGCGGGGGAGACCCCGUGGCCGAGAGGAGCCCAUACAGGCGGUUCCACUAUCUUUUCUAUGUCCUUGCUU
rnacentral:rRNA from 1 species